GUAAUCAAGAUCAGUCUGAUGAGAGAUGUUUCUCAAGGUGGACCAUCCCAGGAUCAGGAAAAUGAUCUCCCCCUGUCACCCAGAGACAGACAGAACCGGGCUACGGAGGUCCGAUCUCCCCCAGUCACCCAGAGACAGACAGAACCGGGCUACGGAAGUCUGAUCUCCCCCUGUCACCCAGAGACAGACAGACAGAACCGGGCUACGGAGGUCCGAUCUCCCCCUGUCACCCAGAGACAGACAGAACCGGGCUACGGAGGUCCGAUCUCCCCCAGUCACCCAGAGACAGACAGAACCGGGCUACGGAGGUCCCAUCUCCCCCUGUCACCCAGAGACAGACAGAACCGGGUUAUGGAGGUCCCAUCUCCCCCUGUCACCCAGAGACAGACAGAACCGGGCUACGGAGGUCCGAUCUCCCC
ensembl:lncRNA